rnacentral:rRNA from 1 species
GAUGAACGCUGGCGGCGUGCCUAAUACAUGCAAGUCGAGCGAACAGACGAGGAGCUUGCUCCUCUGACGUUAGCGGCGGACGGGCGAGUAACACGUGGAUAACCUACCUAUAAGACUGGGAUAACUUCGGGAAACCGGAGCUAAUACCGGAUAAUAUAUUGAACCGCAUGGUUCAAUAGUGAAAGACGGUUUUGCUGUCACUUAUAGAUGGAUCCGCGCCGCAUUAGCUAGUUGGUAAGGUAACGGCUUACCAAGGCAACGAUGCGUAGCCGACCUGAGAGGGUGAUCGGCCACACUGGAACUGGGACACGGUCCAGACUCCUACGGGAGGCAGCAGUAGGGAAUCUUCCGCAAUGGGCGAAAGCCUGACGGAGCAACGCCGCGUGAGUGAUGAAGGUCUUCGGAUCGUAAAACUCUGUUAUUAGGGAAGAACAAAUGUGUAAGUAACUAUGCACGUCUUGACGGUACCUAAUCAGAAAGCCACGGCUAACUACGUG